rnacentral:rRNA from 1 species
UAGGCGCACGUGUGAGUAACACGUGACUAACCUACCCUCGAGUGGGGAAUAACCUAGAGAAAUCUGGGCUAAUACCGCAUAACACUUACGAGUCAAAGCAGAGAUGCUCUUGAGGAGGGGGUCGCGGCAGAUUAGCUAGUUGGUGGGGUAAUGGCCCACCAAGGCAAUGAUCUGUAUCCGGCCUGAGAGGGCGCACGGACACACUGGAACUGAAACACGGUCCAG